AGCGAACGCUGGCGGCAGGCUUAACACAUGCAAGUCGAGCGGCCGUAGCAAUACGGCAGCGGCAGACGGGAGAGUAACACGUGGGAACGUGCCUAUCAGUUCGGAACAACCCAGGGAAACUUGGGCUAAUACCGGAUACGCCCUUACGGGGAAAGAUUUAUCGCUGAUAGAGCGGCCCGCGUCUGAUUAGCUUGUUGGUGAGGUAACGGCUCACCAAGGCGACGAUCAGUAGCUGGUCUGAGAGGAUGGUCAGCCUCACUGGGACUGAGACACGGCCCAGACUCCUACGGGAGGCAGCAGUGGGGAAUAUUGGACAAUGGGCGCAAGCCUGAUCCAGCCAUGCCGCGUGGAUGAUGAAGGCCUUAGGGUUGUAAAGUCCUUUCGGCGGGGAAGAUAAUGACGGUACCCGCAGAAGAAGCCCCGGCUAACUUCGUGCCAGCCGCCGCAGUAACAC
rnacentral:rRNA from 1 species